CUAGAGAUGAAAGUUACUUCGGUACAUCGGUGACAGGUGGUGCAUGGUUGUCGUCAGCUCGUGUCGUGAGAUGUUGGGUUAAGUCCCGCAACGAGCGCAACCCCUAUUGUUAGUUGCCAUCAUUCAGUUGGGCACUCUAGCGAGACUGCCGGUAAUAAACCGGAGGAAGGUGGGGAUGACGUCAAAUCAUCAUGCCCCUUAUGACCUGGGCUACACACGUGCUACAAUGGUUGGUACAACGAGUUGCGAGUCGGUGACGGCGAGCUAAUCUCUUAAAGCCAAUCUCAGUUCGGAUUGUAGGCUGCAACUCGCCUACAUGAAGUCGGAAUCGCUAGUAAUCGCGGAUCAGCACGCCGCGGUGAAUACGUUCCCGGGCCUU
rnacentral:rRNA from 1 species